rnacentral:rRNA from 1 species
AUGAACGCUGGCGGCGUGCCUAAUACAUGCAAGUCGAGCGAACAGAUGAGGAGCUUGCUCCUCUGACGUUAGCGGCGGACGGGUGAGUAACACGUGGAUAACCUACCUAUAAGACUGGGAUAACUUCGGGAAACCGGAGCUAAUACCGGAUAAUAUAUUGAACCGCAUGGUUCAAUAGUGAAAGACGGUUUUGCUGUCACUUAUAGAUGGAUCCGCGCCGCAUUGGCUAGUUGGUAAGGUAACGGCUUACCAAGGCAACGAUGCGUAGCCGACCUGAGAGGGUGAUCGGCCACACUGGAACUGAGACACGGUCCAGACUCCUACGGGAGGCAGCAGUAGGGAAUCUUCCGCAAUGGGCGAAAGCCUGACGGAGCAACGCCGCGUGAGUGAUGAAGGUCUUCGGAUCGUAAAACUCUGUUAUUAGGGAAGAACAAAUGUGUAAGUAACUAUGCACGUCUUGACGGUACCUAAUCAGAAAGCCACGGCUAACUACGUG